GGCCCAAUUGCCCCAUAUCCCCUCCCAGUCCAUCCCAGUCCAUCCCAGUAUGGCCCAGUCGCCCCAUACCUCCUCCCAGUGCCCUCCCAGUCCAUCCCAGUCAGCCCAUAUUCCCUCCCAGUCCAUCCCAGUAUGGCCCAGUCACCCCAUAUCCCCUCCCGGUCCAUCCCAGUCCAUCCCAGUAUGGCCCAGUCGCCCCAUAUCGCCUCCCAGUCCAUCCCAGUCCAUCCCAGUAUGGCCCAGUCACCCCAUAUCUCCUCCCAGUCCAUCCCAGUCCAUCCCAGUCGCCCCAUACCUCCUCCCAGUGCCCUCCCAGUCCAUCCCAGUCAGCCCAUAUUCCCUCCCAGUCCAUCCCAGUAUGGCCCAGUCACCCCAUAUCCCCUCCCAGUCCAUCCCAGUCCAUCCCAGUAUGGCCCAGUCGCCCCGUAUCACCUCCCAGUCCAUCCCAGUCCAUCCCAGUAUGGCCCAGUCACCCCAUAUCUCCUCCAGUUCCCAGCACCCCAUAUCCCUCCCAGUCCAUCCCAGUCCAUCCCAGUCACCCCAUAUCUCCGCCCAGUGCCCUCCCAGUCCAUCCCAGUCACCCCAUACCUCCUCCCAGUCCAUCCCAGUCCAUCCCAGUUGCCCUGUAUCCCCUCCCAGUCCAUCCCAGUUGCCCCGUAUCCCCUCCCAGUCCAUCCCAGUUUCCAUCCCAGUCGCCCCGUAUCCCCUCCCAGUCCAUCCCAGUCACCCCAUAUCUUCUCAUAGUGCUCUCCCAGUCCAUCCCAGUCCAUCCCAGUCCGUCAUCCCAUAUCUCCUCCCAGUCCAUCCCAGUCGCCCUGUAUCCCCUCCCAGUCCAUCCCAGACCAUCCCAGUCACCCCAUAUCUCCUCCCAGUACGGCCCAGCCGCCCCAUAUCCCCUCCCAGUCCACCCCAUUACGCACCGGUGGACUCAUCAGCAGCCAGGAUGCCUUUGCCCGGCGCCACGAUGCGCUUGGCGAUGUCGUGCAGCUCCUGCUUCUGCUCCGGGGUGAGCGCUGGGUACUGGUGAGGCAUGGCGGCGCUGCUACUGGGCAAACUGGGAGCACUGGGAGGGGAGACGAUGCAAUGCGCGUUGGCGGCCGCUAGAGGGCAGUAGGGAGUAGUGGGAGGACCGCCACUAGGGGGCGCUAUGGAGCGGUGGGAGGACCGCCGCUAGGGGGAGCUAGGGAGCAACGGCAACACUGCCGCUAGGGGGCGCUAGGGAGCAAUGUCAGGGUGACCACUAGGGGGCAGUAGAGAGCACUGGGAGGACCGCCACUAGGGGGCGCUAUGGAGCGGUGGGAGGACUGCCGCUAGGGAGCGCUAGAGAGAAAUACUGAACAGAAACCCAUAGGGGGCAAUGGAGACAUGGAGACCCAUAGGGGGCGCUAUGGAGCAGUGGGAGGACCGCCGCUAGAGGGCGCUGUGGAGCAGUUGGAGGACUGCCGCUAGGGGGCGCUAUGGAGAAAUGGGAGGAUCGCCGCUAGGGGGCACUAGGGAGCAGUGGGAGGACUGCCGCUAGGGGGCACUAGGGA
rnacentral:lncRNA from 7 species